UAACAGCAGGAGGAGGGCAUUCAAUGACGUGUCCGAUGUAACAGUGAGGUUUUGGUUGGCUGUAGAAAUGGAAUGAAGAUUCCCCAAAGGCUACCAAACCAAAAGAGCCAGAAGACUCUAGAGCAGUGAACUAGGCCUAGUGAACACAAUCAAUUCCCAGGCUCCAAACUGAAUUCACAGAGGCUCCAGGAAAAGGAAAGAAUGGAAACUCCAAUGAGCACCCUGCUGGUGGUCCUGUGUGCACAGCUGACCUGGUCAAAUGGACAACUGCCAGUGGAACAGAAUCCUCCUUCCCUGAAAGUAAAGGAAGGCGACAGCGUCACACUGAACUGCAGUUACAGAGAUAGUGCUUCAGAUUUCUUCCAGUGGUUCAGGCAGGAUCCCGAGGAAGGCCUCAUUUCCCUGAUACAAAUGCUAUCAAAUGUGAGAGAGAAGAUCAGUGGAAGAUUCACAGCCAGUCUUGAAAAAAAAGACCAGCACUUUUCUCUGCACAUACAGGAUUCCCAGCUCCAUGACUCAAGCACAUUCUUCUGUGCAGCAAGUACACAGUGCCCCACAGUCACCUGCACCCUAUACCUAAAGCUUUAUGAGAAACCAGGGCACACCUCCAUUUAUAAGGCCCUUGGGGCACUGACUAUAACUCUGCUGUGUGCAAAAGGAAAUAUGAGGGGCUGUUUUAUAACAUAAUAUCAAACAUUUCAUUUGAAGACCAUGUGCAGAGGGAUAAUGUUUUCAAACACUACCUAAAGUAUUUUGUUUCUCAGUGUGAGGCCCUUCCUUUGUGAAAACUAAUC